rnacentral:rRNA from 1 species
UACGAAGGGGGCUAGCGUUGUUCGGAAUUACUGGGCGUAAAGCGCGCGCAGGCGGCUUCUCAAGUCAGGGGUGAAAGCCCAGAGCUCAACUCUGGAAUUGCCUUUGAAACUGUGAAGCUUGAGUACGGGAGAGGUGAGUGGAAUUCCCAGUGUAGAGGUGAAAUUCGUAGAUAUUGGGAAGAACACCGGUGGCGAAGGCGGCUCACUGGCCCGUUACUGACGCUCAGGCGCGACAGCGUGGGGAUCAAACAGGAUUAGAA